rnacentral:rRNA from 1 species
GAUCCUGGCUCAGGACGAACGCUGGCGGCGUGCUUAACACAUGCAAGUCGAACGAGAUCGGCUUCGGCCUCAAUGAUCUAGUGGCGAACGGGUGCGUAACACGUGAGAAACCUGCCCAAGAUCGGAAUAACCCAAGGAAACUCGGGCUAAUACCGAAUGCCUUCCCACCACCGCAGUGGAGGGAAGAAAUGCUCCGGCGCUUUGGGAGGGUCUCGCGGCCUAUCAGCUUGUUGGAGGUAAUGGCUCACCAAGGCAUCGACGGGUAGCUGGUCUGAGGGGACGAUCAGCCACUGGGACUGAGACACGGCCCAGACUCCUACGGGAGGCAGCAGUGGGGAAUCUUGCGCAAGGCGAAAGCCUGACGCAGCAACGCCGCGUGAGGGAAGACGGCUCUCGGGUUGUAAACCUUUCAGCAGGGACGAAAUUGACGGUACCUGCAGAAGAAGCGCCGGCCAACUACGUGCCCAGCCGCGGUAACACGUAGGGCGCAAGCGUUGUCCGGAUUUAUUGGGCGUAAAGGGCUUAGGCGGUUUCGUAAGUCGGGUGUGAAAACUCAGGGCUCAACCCUGAGACGCCACUCGACUGCGAUGACUUGAGUCCGGUAGGGGAGCAGGGAAUUCCUGGUGUAGCGGUGAAAUGCAGAUAUCAGGAGGAACACCAUUAGCGAAGGCGCUGCUCUGGGCCGGUACUGACGCUGGAGCGAAAGCAUGGGGAGCAAACAGGAUUAGAUACCCUGGUAGUCCAUGCCGUAAACGGGGCACUAGGUGUGGGUCUCAUCCAACGAGAUCCGCGCCGUAGCUAACGCAUUAAGUGCCGCCUGGGGAGUACGGCCCGCAGGCUAAAACUCAAAGGAAUUGACGGGGGCCCGCACGCGGCGGAGCAUGUUGCUUAAUUCGAGGCAACGCGAAGAACCUUACCUGGGCUCGACAUAGUGAAAAGGCAUAGAGAUAUGGUGUCCUUUUGGGCGCUACACAGGUGGUGCAUGGCUCGUCAGCUCGUGUCGUGAGAUGUUGGGUUAAGUCCCGCAACGAGCGCAACCCUUAUCAUGUUGCCAGCGCGUAAUGGCGGGGACUCAUGGGAGACUGCCGGGGUCAACUCGGAGGGGUGGGGACGACGUCAAGUCAUCAUGCCCCUUAUGUCCAGGGCUGCAAACAUGCUACAGGCUGGUACAAAGGGCAGCGAAACCGUGAGGUUAAGCGAAUCCCAUAAAGCCAGUCUCUUCGGAUUGAAGUCUGCAACUCGACUUCAUGAAGCUGGAGUCGCUAGUAAUCCCGGAUGCAACGCCGGGGUGAAUACGUUCCCGGGCCUUGUACACACCGCCCGUCACACCACGAAUCGGUAACACCCGAAGUCAGUGGCCCAACCCUUCGGGGAGGGAGCUGCCGAAGGUGGGCGGUGAUUGGGGUGAAGUC